CCUGAGGAGAGGCGCGUGCCGCUGAGGGGAGAGUACACCUGAGGGGCGAGUACACCUCUGUGACAGAGGCACUAGAGAUGACACGAAGAAAGCAUCGGAGGGCACACCCACAAGCCAAACCAGCCCUUUUGGAAGCAAGAUGUUCCAUCAGACAGUGGAAGAGCAGACAGAAAUUCUACAUUCUGAUUUGGGAGCUGAACUUCCUCACUGCUCAGCAGUUCUCCUCCCAGAAAAAUUUGGGAGUGCUUCAACUGCUCUCAGGGUUGCAAGAUUCCUUCCAGCACAAGGAACAAAGUUAAGUUCAUAUUC